AGGUCUUGGUACGUGAUAUAUGGGUUUUUGAGAAGUCUCUCUUCCACCCUGGAGCAUACUGGCGUCUAUGUGGACGAAUCAAAGUUUAGAUAGACUGUUGUGAAGAGGAAAUGGUUUUCAUCAACUUUGUAAGAUGCUAGAAUUUGUAACUUAUUCACCCCUGAGACAUACAUGUCUCUCUUGUGAAGAGGAAAUGGUUUUCUUCAACUUUGUAAGAUGCUAUAAUUUGUAACUUAUUCAACCCUGAAACAUACAUGUCUUUGGUUUCUCUACACUUCAACUUUCAUGUGCUUUAUUCUGUAGUCCAUUCAGAAAAUUUUCCUUUAGACUUGUGUAGCUGCCAUUUUAUGACUCAAUAAGCAGGUGCAAGUCCUGCAUAAUUGUUCUUAAAGGAACACCUAUAAAGAUGUAUUUUUGUUUUCUGGAACUGUUUUAAAGAGUUGUCAGUCUGAUUUAAGGGGACGUCUUUCCUUUGAUUUGGUGAAAAUUGUGUAAGGAGAAGCGUAUUCACUUGCUUCAUUGCUUGAUAAAUGGUAAUCCAUCUUGUUUGGUUCGUUCUCUUCAUGUGCUCCUCUGAUCAAUUAGUAUAGGUAUUGUGCUUAGUUGAAGCUGAACAGCUACUUCAAUCCUAUUUAUUAGUUUACCUUGUUCAAUUGGCUUCAUGUUCUCAAGCUCAAAUUGACAAUCAGAGCCCCUUCUUUGGUAAUCAUUUGUAGGAAACUCAAGUUGAGAAAGAGGGAAGGAAUAAAACCUUGAUGCCUAUAAGCAUUAGCUUUAUGGAGGGGAAAUAUAAGAUGCUAUCUGGCUUUACCUUUGUUUUUGCUCCCAAGAAAAGAAAAGGAACAUAGCUUGCAACUGUUGCUUGUCUUUGGCCGAAAGAAUUUAAUGGCUACAGCAGUCUAAAAGCCUACAUUAUUUUUUCAGUUUCCUUUCUUAAAACAGACCAAGGAAUGGACAAAGGAGGAAACAAAAUCCAGCUCCUUGGCAUUUGCAAUGAAUUAUUGUGUUAUAUCA
rnacentral:lncRNA from 1 species